UACGAAGGGUGCAAGCGUUACUCGGAAUUACUGGGCGUAAAGCGUGCGUAGGUGGUUCGUUAAGUCUGAUGUGAAAGCCCUGGGCUCAACCUGGGAAUUGCAUUGGAUACUGGCGGGCUAGAGUACGGUAGAGGGUGGCGGAAUUCCUGGUGUAGCAGUGAAAUGCGUAGAGAUCCGGAAGAACACCAGUGGCGAAGGCGGCUCGCUGGGCAGUGGCUGACGCUGAGGCGCGACAGCGUGGGGAGCAAACAGG
rnacentral:rRNA from 1 species